UGCAGGGGUGGCCAGGUGGGCGACGUGGCGCCCCUACACGGAGCCCUGAAGCCCUUGGCCGCGAAGUCUGACCACAGCCACUCGUGGGAGUCUGGUGGGAGUCUGGUGGGAGACUUGGAGCCAUAAGGCAGGAAGGCCAAGAGGCGGAGGAGUGAUGGAAAGGAACUCAGAGACUAUCAAGUUCCAUGCUCUCAUUUUCCAGAAGAAAGUCCAACCUGAAAGCCAAAGACACAAGUGAGGUUCUCAACAUCACAUGGAUAUCGGAGAAAGAUGACUCUGGCAGCAGUUGCCCAGGAUGGCCUUGAGAGGGACGCUGGAGGCAGGAGGUCUGGUCAGAGGUGUCGGCGGUAUGCCUGGCUGGAGGCCGUCACUAAUUCCUUUUGGAUGCUGGAAAGCUGUAGAUGACAACCAAGUAAAAACAGUCCAAAAAAACCGAUUCCGUUUAUGCUAGCAGAGGCCCCAAGCCCUGAAAAGAGGAUGGAUGGUCUGCCU